rnacentral:rRNA from 1 species
GUCUACGGCCAUACCACCCUGAACACGCCCGAUCUCGUCUGAUCUCGGAAGCUAAGCAGGGUCAGGCCUGGUUAGUACUUGGAUGGGAGAAGUAACCAUAGAUA